CCUACGGGAGGCAGCAGUGGGGAAUCUUGGACAAUGGGGGCAACCCUGAUCCAGCCAUGCCGCGUGUGUGAAGAAGGCCCUCGGGUUGUAAAGCACUUUCAGUGAGGAAGAACGCCUGGUGGUUAAUACCCAUCAGGAAAGACAUCACUCACAGAAGAAGCACCGGCUAACUCCGUGCCAGCAGCCGCGGUAAUACGGAGGGUGCGAGCGUUAAUCGGAAUUACUGGGCGUAAAGCGCGCGUCGGUGGCUUGAUAAGCCGGUUGUGAAAGCCCCGGGCUCAACCUGGGAACGGCAUCCGGAACUGUCAAGCUAGAGUGCAGGAGAGGAAGGUAGAAUUCCCGGUGUAGCGGUGAAAUGCGUAGAGAUCGGGAGGAAUACCAGUGGCGAAGGCGGCCUUCUGGACUGACACUGACACUGAGGUGCGAAAGCGUGGGUAGCAAACAGGAUUAGAUACCCUGGUAGUC
rnacentral:rRNA from 1 species